rnacentral:rRNA from 1 species
GUUUAAAAGUCAAAGAACUUGGCGGUGUUACGAAUUCGGUCAGGGGAGCUUGGUGGUUAAUUCGAUGAUCCGCGAGAACCUUACCCCAUAUGUUUCUAUCUGUACGGCCGUUGAUAGUUUAUCCUAAAGGGAUAGGCGCAAUUCCUUAUUAUGUCUAAGUACAGGUAAUAAGGUAGAAUUCAGGUAAAUGUGGAGGAUGUGAUGGGGCCUUAGCUGAGCUACAAUUUUUAAUUUAAACGGACUUCACCUGAAAAAGUGAAAGUGGACAAGUAGAAUAUAAGUUUGAAGAGAACUUGUAUUGCUAAAGACUACGAAGAAGGUGGACUUGAAAGUAAGAAGGAGAAAAGAAAGCCUUUCUGAAUAGUUAAACGUAACGCGUACAAACCGCCCAGCGCUCUUGUAUUAAAAAGUCUAGAUAAGUCGUAACAUGGUAGGAGU